GGAGAAGCCAGGUCCUUCUUGCUCAUCAGCCCUCUGGGAAUCUGAAAUUCUUAUUCCAUUCUAGUACAAUUAUUGAAGGGAGCAAAGGAGAAAAUUUUACAGCAGAGGCAUGUGAAGACUGCUUUGGCCGAACAGACAGAAGAAACCAAUAAGAAGGUUCAACGGCUGAGGGGGCGAUGCAGCAAAGCACUGUGCAGUGCUUAGGGCGUUUUGGAACACAAAAGACAACACCGCCAUCCAAUGCAGCUGAGGAAGUCUCCAGGUGUAACAACUUUUCGUGCCAAUGGACCCAGGCUUCCAAUGCCGAGAGAGUGGGACUGUCUCUGUGCAUCGACUUUUCCACUUAAAUCUCCUUCAUGCACAGGAAGUUCCUAUUCCAUUUAUAGAACAUGCUGCUGGGCAUGAUCUGAGUGACCUGGUUUUCAAAGUGUACCUUUGUCAACUUCUUGGAGCCACAAAUGAGAGCUGGGCAUCAGGUAGACACCAAAGGAGGAAAACAGCCCUGAAAAAAACCUUGGAAGGCCUUCACACAAGAGGUACAAAGAGACAGAGUUGGAAGUCUAAAAACCUAAAAGACUAGGGCCUUUCUUGUUAUAUCAUGUCUCACUUGAAAUUAAUAAUCAGAGGGACAUUGAAAAAAGACACCUCUAUUAUUGUAGCUUUCAAAGAUUCUUGUAUGAUUUUGAAAUAUGCAUGGGAUUCACCUUGUUGGAGGAGAGCCUUUAGGGUCUACUUUGCUCUAUCUACUCGAAUUCAUUUUUAGAGUGAACAAAAAAAAAAACAAUUAAAUAAACACAAGGGGAUCUUGUUUCCUCUACCCCUU
rnacentral:lncRNA from 1 species